UACGAAGGGAGCUAGCGUUGCUCGGAAUCACUGGGCGUAAAGCGCACGUAGGCGGAUUGUUAAGUCAGGGGUGAAAUCCUGGAGCUCAACUCCAGAACUGCCUUUGAUACUGGCGAUCUUGAGUUCGGGAGAGGUGAGUGGAACUGCGAGUGUAGAGGUGAAAUUCGUAGAUAUUCGCAAGAACACCAGUGGCGAAGGCGGCUCACUGGCCCGAUACUGACGCUGAGGCACGAAAGCGUGGGGAGCAAACAGG
rnacentral:rRNA from 1 species